rnacentral:lncRNA from 1 species
AUUGAACCCUGAAGGUCUGCUCCGAGUCGGUCGGGUCCGAAGCGCUCCUCUCUGCCCUCGGGGAGGCCCCGAAGCCCCAGACCUGGCAGCCCUUCCUGGAGUUGCACAGACCCACCUGGCUCCUCCUCCCCGAGGUACAAGUCCUAAAGAAACCCUCAAACAUGUGCAUCAGGGGACAUGGACCAAUCCAAUCAAAGCUGUACAAUUUAUGAUAGCAUCACAUUAGAAGCAGCACAAAUGCCCAGCAGCAAUGGAAUGGAUAGAUUGCCGCAUAUCUAUAGAAUGGAAUACUAUACAACAGUGAAAAUAAAGCAGUUACGACAACGUGGAUGAAUCUCAGAAAGAUAAUUUUGAAUUUUCUGAAUGAAAAAAAUGCAAGGCACACAAUGCAUGGAAUAUGAUUCCAUUAAAUUAAAACCCAAAAGCAUGCAUCUAAAUGAUGUAAAGGAUACAAAUUAGAACCAGCCAGAGGAAGAGAAUGCGUAUGUGGAAGUCUGGCAGGAAUCCAAAUGCAGAGCUGCUGUCAUCCCCAUGCUGUGUUCCCCUCCCAUCAACAAAGGGGACGAUACUGAGAAGGAAACUCACCCAGCUCUUAUGUCCAGAAUUUUUAUUAGGGCUUCGUACAAUAGGCACAAUUGAUUGAAUUAUUGUCCACGUGGCUGAACCCAACUGCCAGUCUCCCUCCCCUGCCUGGAAGUCAGGGUGAAGUGACGUGGCCCAAAACCCCAGUCUUUUUUUUUUUUAACUUUUAACUAAAAAGUAAACUUGAAUGUCGAAAAUGCAAACUUGGGGAAGACAGAAAAGAUCACACGCAAGGCUGUCACUUCGCACUUGGAAGGUUGCACAGUGGCCGGGCAGAGGCGCUCCUCACUUCCCAGACGGGGUGGCGGCCGAGGAGAGACGCUCCUCACUUCCCAGACGAGAAAGCCCCAGUCUUCUAAUCACUUGGUCUUCUCUCGUGGCCAGCCCCACCUUGAAUCAUCUUGUUAACAUAAACUAUCUUGUAACGGCCUUGUUACUGAUAACUAUCAGGUGUGGUCCAAGGUGCUUGUCAUGAAUAACAAAAACAUUCCCACACCUGGAAAAAAAAAAAAUCUCAAAGAGUUGGCCAGGUGCAGUGGCUCAUGCCGGUAAUCCCAGCACUUUGGGAGGCCGAGGCGGGCAGAUCGCUUGAGUCCAAGAGUUUGAGACUAGCCCAGGUGACACAGCGAAACCCUGUCUGUACAAAAAAAUACCAACAUUAGCUGAG